rnacentral:ribozyme from 1 species
CUACUAAAUCUAUAUUAUAGAUUUAUAACCGUUAUAACAUAAAAGUAAGUAGAUACAAAAUCGGGUGAAUUGCAAGGACAUCUUAUCUUUAGAUAAGACAAUUUGCAGCUAAGCUUAAAUCAGUGUAUAUCUGUAUUUACAGAUAGUGGUUUAAGAAAGUUCAACGACUAAUCGGUGAGUUGCACUAACAAUAAUCCGGACACGAGCGCCCGACAUUUAACAG